GAUGAACGCUGGCGGCGUGCCUAAUACAUGCAAGUCGAGCGAAUGGAUUAAGAGCUUGCUCUUAUGAAGUUAGCGGCGGACGGGUGAGUAACACGUGGGUAACCUGCCCAUAAGACUGGGAUAACUCCGGGAAACCAGGGCUAAUACCGGAUAACAUUUUGAACCGCAUGGUUCGAAAUUGAAAGGCGGCUUCGGCUGUCACUUCUGGAUGGACCCGCGUACCAUUAGCUAGUUGGGGAGGUAACGGCUCAACAAGGCAACGAUGCGUAGCCGACCAGGGAGGGUGAGCGGCCAAACUGGGACUGAGGCACGGCCACGACGCCUACGGGAGGAAGCAGUAGGGAAUCUGCCGCAAUGGACGAAAGUCUGACGGAGCAACGCCGCGUGAGUGAUGAAGGCAUGCGGGUCGUAAAACUCUGUUGUUAGGGAAGAACAAGUGCUAGGUGAAUAAGCUGGCACCUUGACGGUACCUAAUCAGAAAGCCACGGCUAACUACGUGCCAGCCGCCGCAGUAA
rnacentral:rRNA from 1 species